AUCUGAUGUUGUUUCAGGAAAGUUGGUGACAGAGACUCUUUGUCUUCAGCAGGACUCCUCAAAGAGGACACAGAGCAGAAACACUGACACCAAUCAACCAGUCUGAUGUUUUAGAGACAUUAUGGAGACGGCAACAUCUGAUGAUGAUUUAAAGUCUCAGAGGAGAAGCAACCCUUUCUGUAAGUUGAACUGAUGAGAAUUCUUCAACA